rnacentral:lncRNA from 1 species
AGCCACAACAACCAGCAAGGUACUCAGCAUCAGGCUCAGUUGUCAUAACCACUCAAUGGGAGACUUUUGAUCCUGUUCCGGCACCAUUGCCACUACCCCCUAUGGCAAACACCAAUAAAUCAAUGCAUCCUAAAUUCAAUUGGGAUUUGCUGUAAGUGGUAAGUGUAUGUUUUAGCGUGUGAAUGUUUGUUUUGAAUUUGUCUCGAGUUGGUUUUGGUGUCUAUUCUCCAUUCUUUUCUGUAAUUUAUAGAUUUGUUAGCAUCCUUUGAUGAUUGAUCUGUCAUUUACUUCGGAAAAUAAAUGGGGAUAGUUUAAACUAUUAAUAUUACGUUCUCCUUUUAUUUUCUUUGUUCAAGUCAUUCUUCACACUCGUAAUGUUUCGGAUAUUGAUAGUGGUGUUUACUUGAGAAUUUAGAUUUUAAAUUAAGAAGAGAUCGUACCUCAAUAUCAGUGCAUGUUUCUGCGUCUCCAGACUCCAAGGCAAUCCUACUCUCAAUUUUGAUAAAUAAUAAUAUAAAAAAAACAAUAGUGGUUUAUGACUUUUGAUUAAUCUUUGUUCUUUGCAUCCCGUGGAGGAUACAAAAUGACAAAAAGGGAGGAAUGAAAAGGAUUUUUAUAAUCAUAUAACUAACCCUUAAUUUAUACAAAGAUAGGUCUGAUUACAGUGGGGUGCAGAAAAUGAUGACCAAUAAAAUAGUUAAAUCCUCAAAACAGAAAUGUUUUGGCAGAUGUAAUAAUCUUCCAAAAAACCUUUUUUUUCUUCUGGAUUUGUUAAAUUUGCAUGUUUAUGCAGGCCAAGAAAGGAAAAGGAAACAAAUAUGGGGCAUACAGAUACAGGUGGUAUGUUGGAAAGAAAAUUCAGUGGCGUACCUCUCAGUGAAAGUAAAGUUGCCAUGAUUGUUUUGUGGUCAUGAGUAGGUGAAUGUUUAACUGAGAUGCCAGGAGGUCUAGCCUCAAUAUGAACUAACUCUGUUUGAUUGGGGUUGAAUGAGUCAUGCAUCUGAUUGGGAGAUUGGGAUUGUAUGAGUUCUGUAUCUGACUGAAGUUGGAUAAUUUCCAGCCCUACUGACUACUAAAGCAGCUAAAAGUUAACCCUCUCCUGGAUGAACCGGACUAACAGUCUUCUUACUAGGGUCUAUUUUCCUGAAAAGAAAUAACAUGCUUCACUAUGUUGGACUGAUGAUAUUUUCCAGCUUAAAACUAAUGCAUUACAUGAGAAUGAUAAAUAUUUUUGAAGAUAAAACGUGAGAAUGAUAAAUUAUAAGUAUAAUCCGGGCCGCAUUCAAGAAAUAUGCAGAAAAGUUAUUUUACUUCUUUUGUGAUUCUUCAGGUGCAACUAAUUUUCUUGUGGUCCAAUAACAUUUUGAGUGUUAGCCAUAUGUGUUGUAAAUCUUUUUCAUAAAUAUGAUCCAUUCUCCACUUAUCAGGUUGAAUCUCCACUUAUCAGGUCUUCAACGAAGCUUGUAUCAAAUUUCCAGUUGAUCAUAAAUAAAACUGUUAUAGUCCUUGACAAUCCGUCUUGGUUAGGUACAAGUAAUUGUUUUUUUGUUUAGGCUUGGGAUUCUGCUUUAUUUAUAAUGGCUCAAUUCGAAAAAGGUUAUAAACUACAAUGAUCCAAAGUAACAGUGGGAAAAAUAAACCAAGAAGAAAGCCGUGUGAAGAUCAAUAUAGUGAGGGAACAAAUACAGCAAUAAUUGCAGUAAUCAACAAUUAAAAUAACUUAUAAACACAUAAAAAAGUCAUUGAUACAACUUUUAAUUCGAAAAUGUCGGUGGUUGCACAAAAAGCACACGUUUCAUUCUUUUAGAAUAAAAUAUCUUAAAAUCCGAUGACUCCUGUACCUUGGAUGUAAAUGGAAUUAGGAUUAUCAUUGGGAAAAGAAAAGUAAUGAUUAAUUAAAGUAAAGAAAGAUCUAAAGCACUUUACUAACUUUGCUUCAGCAUCUCAAAUGAGUACACACUGUAACAAGCUUAAAAAACAAAUCCCAAGAGCCUAAAGAAAAGUGUAGCUCAUCAGAAAUUUUAUGUUGCUUCAGAGGAAGUUGAUACUAGCCAAAUAUAUAAAUCCACUACACAAAUAUGCUUCAAUACACGUAUGAAGUUACUCAUGCAAUUUCCAAGAAAGAUAUAUCUGUAAGCAAGCAACUUCAAAAUAUCACUAAUUCUAGAUAUAAAGUCACAAACAAGUUUUUGCUAAGUUCCUAAAGAAUGUUUCAGUAAUAGUCAUGUCUAUAAGACUACAGAGGCCUCUUGAUCAGGGUAUUAGGACUGCUGCAAACCAUAAGUUCUAUUGGUUAAUUUACUAUGAGACACUGCCUCAGGUCUCGUUUCCUACUACACCUUGUUUUCUACAUCGAAACUGAGUAAAUGACACGAUAAUCCAAGAAAUUUUAUGUGUAUUAGUUCUUGCUAGGGAAGAUGAAUGAGGGGUUGAUCUUGAGAGCACCAGCUAGGUAUCAACAGAUAAGAGGCAGUUCAGUAGCCAAAGGCUCAAGCAUAAACAAAAUAAAGACUAAAUGAAAAACUAGGGGGACAAAAAUAAAGAGGGAACUAGAGAUGCAUUAAUCGUUACUCAUUAGUUUUGAGGGAAAGCAAGGAUAGAGAACUUAAACACUAGCGUCACUUCUCAUGUAUAAUGAGAUUAAAGAAAGUGUGAGAAUAGAGGGUUUGGGGAACUAGGGAAUACAAAAUGGAAUGGUAACUGUUAACUGUUAGCGGUGAGCUUUGAAUAAUUAAAUUACUAGAAGGCUGGAGAAAUUAGCAAGAAUUGGUAUCUACAUUGCUAGAAGACAACUUGGAAGGCUAGGUGAGUACUUUCUCUAAUUGUUUGUAAUAGGGCUGUGAAAAAAAUUUAGAAAUUCGCAUAAUGUGCAUUGCUCCACAUUGGUUUGAUGACUGGUCGUUGAGAAGGAUCAAAGAGGACGUAGAAGGCUAUGUGAAAACCUUUUCUAAUUGUUAGCAGGCAGGACCGUAAGGAAAAGAUAAAUCAUUUUCUGUGCGCUUGUAGCAGAAAGUUCUAAUCUUCACAUUUUCAUGAUGUAUUGAUUCCAUAAAGAUGAAGCUCUCCACAGCAAACUAAUUUUCGUCAGUAUGUCAAGAGAGGGCAGGAAGAUAUAGAUGCAAAAACAUAUUUCAACUUCAAUCAGAAAGCUAGAGUUUUUAGCCAAGACCAUAAAGUCGAUCAUUUUGAUGUUUUCCCCCAAGUGAUCCGCUAUUACCUUGCUUCAGCUAGAAAAUUAGUCCAAGUAUUAUUGCAUUCCCAUUACCUUUAUUAUGUGAACACUGGAUUUGAAUUUUUCUGAGUCUAAGCUUUUGAGUCACCUUGCAGCCAAAAAAUUUGCAUUAUCUUCCUUUGAUACCCUCGCUGCCAUCAGUCAUUAUCAACUUUCAAUGGCACACCAGUUCAUUCUUUUUAUGCUUUGGUGCUUGAGCAUUUCACAUUUGUUACAUACAAUGCUCUUUGAUUUUUAAUUCCAUUUAUUUUUCUUCACAAUCCAAAGGAUGAAUCUAUAAACUCAUAAUAAUCUAGAGUCUAGGCCUCAAAUUCUAUACACUGCUUAUUCAUACAUAUCUUUGAGACUCUAAUAUCCUUGACGAAUUGCUGUUUCUUAAUUCUUCUCCAAGUGCUUGCUCCGAAUAUUACUAUCCAAUGAAUUAUCUUAGCCUAAGUUGUCUUCAUUAUAAUUCCAUACCAGUUAUUAAAACUUUAAGCCAGUAAUCAUCAAUCUGCAGUUGAGGAUCUUAACUUUUCAUACCAUGAUUCUUGAAAAUUUUGACAUUUUUUUUACACUUUAUUCAACAAAGGAAUGAAAAGCCAGAACCUUGUCGUUUAAUGGGCAGUUAUUUGAAGUAUUAUUAAGUUAACAGGUUUACCAGCGACAAAGGAUUCUUUUCUUUUACUAUUUUAGCCAUAUCAAAACCACCAAGAUGCCAAAAGCUAGAGCUCCUACCCAGUAUAAACUUUCUACUGGCUUCUACGGUCUUUAUUUUCAAGAGCAACCCUCAUCAUAAACACAAUAUUGAUCCUUAAGACCUUAACCUAGAGUCCUAGAAAAAUGAAUAUGUUUGAAUACCUUUGAUUCUUUCAAAGCUUAUUCUGUAUUUUACAUACCAAUUCCUUACACGGUAGGCUUUGUUACAAAGCGACCUACCUAUGCUUAUACAACUAACUAAAACAUCCAUCUCAACUCCUAUUUCCGUAGGUUUUACAUCUGAACAACACAUGAUUCCAUCUUUACCUUCAAUUUGGGACAGAACAAACUUUUAGGACUGGUUUAAAAUGUUAAUGUCAUAAUGCAUUUUCAUCAAUUUGUGUUCAUAAUCAGCAGUUUCAGCUUUGUACAAUCUACCUGGCAAAGAGUUUCUCACUUAAAGUAAAGGUAUUAAUGUAUUAUGUUACUAGUAGCAAAUUAGGAAAGUGUGUUGGAAUAGAAUGCAGCAAAAGAACAUUAACGUCUCAAUCCAAAUUCUUAGCUUCAAAAUUUCAAAUUCAUGAUACAACUCAACGCAGAGAAAGCUUAAAGAAACAGAUUAAACAAGUAGUCAUAAAAAAAAUUGAGAUCACAGUAAAAGAUGAAAUUCAACUAUAAUAGGCACAAUAGCAUAAAAAUGAAACAGCAGCUAGUCCUAAUAGUAAUUUCUUCGCUGACAAAAAUGUUCAUAACGAUAUUACCUAAUUAAAAUUAGCUGAUCCAUUGGCAGUGUAAUGAUUCUGAUCUUUAUUCUGAAACCCUAAUAUCCGAGAUGAUGGGUGAGAGAGACUUUCGGAUUUUAGUUUUGAAAAUGAAUGGCG